CUGCUGUUUAUUGCAAUAGGAGCUGUUGCUGAGAAUGGAACAAGAUUAGAAUAGAAAAGGAGCCCUGGCAGUGCCUCCAGGCUGUGGUCAAUCUUCAUCCACUGAUGUUCCAGCUGAGGGAACAUGGGGAAGGUAUAAGGAUGAAUAUGCCUGUGCAGCACAUGCACACAACCUGUGGAAGCUGUGCAUGCCAAGGCUUGCUGAGAGGUAUAAGAACAAGAAUCCAAACAUAGGAGCCCUUGUGGAACCUUGACAGCAGCCAGUGUGGGCAUCCCUCAGCAGUGCAUUUACAGCAGAGUAAGAGGUACAACAUACUCCUCAUGCUCCUGCACGGAGACAACCUGAGUGUGGACUCACCACAGAGCUGUGAUCUUGCCUCCAACCUGGAUCUCACGAGAAUGAUUUGGCUGUGGUUGAUGUCUGAGCAUGUGAGGUCUGCUUUCUCUUUUGGCCACCCUAUGUGACCUUUACUUCAUCAAACACUAACCUGUACUACAGCCUCACUGGGGCAGCAAAAGGAAGAAAAUAAAUGGAUGGAGAGGAGGUGGGCUU